GAUGAAGAACGCAGCGAACGUGCGAAACGUAAUGUGAAUUGCAGAAUUCAGUGAAUCAUCGAAUCUUUGAACGCAUCUUGCGCGCCUUGGUUUUCCGAGGAGCAUGCCUGUUUGAGUGUCAUGAAAUCAUCUCAAUUUCAAUCUUGUUAUUGAAAUUGGACUUGGGUGCUGUUGUGAGCCACAACUCAUCCUAAAUGCAUUAGCGAUCUGUCUGUGAUCACACACAAUGUGAUAAGUAAAGAGCAUUGUUACAAUCAAGUCAGGAUUGCUUCGAACUGUCUGAAAGGACAUUCUUUUAUGUCAUUUGACCUCAGAUCAGGCAGGACUACCCGCUGAACUUAAGCAUAUCAAUAAGCGGAGGA
rnacentral:misc_RNA from 1 species